CAGCAGUGGGGGAAUUUUGGACAAUGGGCGCAAGCCUGAUCCAGCUAACCGCGUGAGUGAAGAAGGCCUUCGGGUUGUAAAGCUCUCUCGCAAGGGAAGAAACUUACCUUCUAAUAAGGGUGUCUUAGUACUGACCGUAACCUUGAUAAGAAGCACCGGCUAACUACGUG
rnacentral:rRNA from 1 species